rnacentral:rRNA from 1 species
UACAGAGGGGGCAAGCGUUGUUCGGAAUUACUGGGCGUAAAGGGCGCGUAGCGGCCGCCUAAGUCAGACGUGAAAUCCCUCGGCUCAACCGGGGAACUGCGUCUGAUACUGGGUGGCUUGAAUCCGGGAGAGGGAUGCGGAAUUCCGAGGUGUAGCGGUGAAAUGCGUAGAUAUCUGGAGGAACACCGGUGGCGAAGGCGG